rnacentral:rRNA from 1 species
AGAGUUUGAUCAUGGCUCAGAACGAACGCUGGCGGCAGGCCUAACACAUGCAAGUCGAACGCUGUAGCAAUACAGAGUGGCAGACGGGUGAGUAACACGUGGGAACGUACCCUUCGGUUCGGAAUAACACAGAGAAAUUUGUGCUAAUACCGAAUACGUCCGAGAGGAGAAAGAUUUAUCGCCGAAGGAUCGGCCCGCGUCUGAUUAGCUUGUUGGUGAGGUAACGGCUCACCAAGGCUACGAUCAGUAGCUGGUCUGAGAGGAUGAUCAGCCACAUUGGGACUGAGACACGGCCCAAACUCCUACGGGAGGCAGCAGUGGGGAAUAUUGGACAAUGGGCGAAAGCCUGAUCCAGCCAUGCCGCGUGAGUGAUGAAGGCCCUAGGGUUGUAAAGCUCUUUUACUCGGGGAGAUAAUGACGGUACCGAGAGAAUAAGCCCCGGCUAACUUCGUGCCAGCAGCCGCGGUAAUACGAAGGGGGCUAGCGUUGUUCGGAUUUACUGGGCGUAAAGCGCUCGUAGGCGGAUCUUUAAGUCAGGGGUGAAAUCCCGGAGCUCAGCUCCGGAACUGCCUUUGAUACUGGAGAUCUCGAGUCCGGGAGAGGUGAGUGGAACUGCGAGUGUAGAGGUGAAAUUCGUAGAUAUUCGCAAGAACACCAGUGGCGAAGGC